CUCAUAGAGCACAGACCCAGGAAGUACUUCUAGUGGUCAUCUGAGUGACUGCCACUACUGGUGUUCCUAUGCAGUAAUGUAAACACUUCAUAUUCUCUAAAUAGACAGUGUUAACAUAAAAAAUCCUGCAGGGACAUUAAAGGGUCACUGUAGGCACCCAACCACUCCAGCUCAUUGAAGUGGUCUGGGUGCAAUGUCCCAUGUCCUUUAACCCUGCAAUAGUAAUUAUUGCAGUUUCUGAGAAACUGCAACAAUUACCUUGCAGGGUUAACUCCUCUUCUAGUGGCUGUCUGGCAGACAGCCACUAGUGGGACUAUAGGAAUUGAAACUGACCUUUGGUCUGUUACCUGAUGCUGGACGUCCUCACGCUCUGUAUGAGGACCUCCAGUGUCAGAUUUUCCCUAUAGAAAAGCAUUCAAUAGUGCUUUCCUAUGGGGGAAUCCUAAUGUGAGUGCAGGAAUUGCCGCGCAUGCGCAUUAGGAGCAUGGGAAGAGCUUGACCCAGCACCGAG